rnacentral:rRNA from 1 species
UACGGAGGGUGCAAGCGUUAUCCGGAUUCACUGGGUUUAAAGGGUGCGUAGGAGGGCAGGUAAGUCCGUGGUGAAAUCUCCAAGCUUAACUUGGAAACUGCCAUGGAUACUAUCUGUCUUGAAUAUUGUGGAGGUGAGCGGAAUAUGUCAUGUAGCGGUGAAAUGCUUAGAUAUCGAUCGGAACACCCAUGGCGAAGGCAGCUCGCUGGCCUGCAACUGACGCUGAGGCGCGAAAGCGUGGGGAGCAAACAGG